rnacentral:lncRNA from 1 species
GCUUAGCAGAGUUCAGCAUGUAAGAAAUUUCUCAACAAAAGAACAGGCUAUCAGACACUGUUCACCCUUCCUGAAAAAGCCACUUCUCAAACUAGGCAUACAUAAGUUAUUGUACAAAUGAACCAAAGAAAAUGAAUAUUUUGGGCAUCUUCUGGCAUUUUUACGGACUAUUCAUCACCUCGUGAUUAGAAAGGUUGCAAGAGUUGUUGCUAGAACACGGU